UACGUAGGGUGCAAGCGUUAAUCGGAAUUACUGGGCGUAAAGCGUGCGCAGGCGGUCCGUUAAGACAGAUGUGAAAUCCCCGGGCUUAACCUGGGAACUGCAUUGGAUACUAUCCGGCUCGAGGAAUGGAGGGGAGACUGGAAUACUUGGUGUAGCAGUGAAAUGCGUAGAUAUAGGAAGGAACACCAGUGGCGAAGGCGACCACCUGGGCUCAUACUGACACUGAGGUGCGAAAGCGUGGGGGAGCAAACAGG
rnacentral:rRNA from 1 species